AACGAACGCUGGCGGCAUGCCUAACACAUGCAAGUCGAACGAGACCUUCGGGUCUAGUGGCGCACGGGUUCGUAACGCGUGGGAACCUGCCCUUAGGUUCGGAAUAACUCCCCGAAAGGGGUGCUAAUACCGGAUAAUUUCUUCGGACCAAAGAUUUAUCGCCUUUGGAUGGGCCCGCGUUGGAUUAGCUAGUUGGUAGGGUAAAAGCCUACCAAGGCGACGAUCCAUAGCUGGUCUGAGAGGAUGAUCAGCCACACUGGGACUGAGACACGGCCCAGACUCCUACGGGAGGCAGCAGUGGGGAAUAUUGGACAAUGGGCGAAAGGCUGAUCCAGCAAUGCCGCGUGAGUGAUGAAGGCCUUAGGGUUGUAAAGCUCUUUUACCCGGGAUGAUAAUGACAGUACCGGGAGAAUAAGCUCCGGCUAACUCCGUG
rnacentral:rRNA from 1 species